GAUGAACGCUGGCGGCGUGCCUAAUACAUGCAAGUCGAGCGAACAGACGAGGAGCUUGCUCCUCUGACGUUAGCGGCGGACGGGUGAGUAACACGUGGAUAACCUACCUAUAAGACUGGGAUAACUUCGGGAAACCGGAGCUAAUACCGGAUAAUAUAUUGAACCGCAUGGUUCAAUAGUGAAAGACGGUUUUGCUGUCACUUAUAGAUGGAUCCGCGCCGCAUUAGCUAGUGGGUAAGGUAACGGCUUACCAAGGCAACGAUGCGUAGCCGACCUGAGAGGGUGAUCGGCCACACUGGAAGUGAGACACGGUCCAGACUCCUACGGGAGGCAGCAGUAGGGAAUCUUCCGCAAUGGGCGAAAGCCUGACGGAGCAACGCCGCGUGAGUGAUGAAGGUCUUCGGAUCGUAAAACUCUGUUAUUAGGGAAGAACAAAUGUGUAAGUAACUAUGCACGUCUUGACGGUACCUAAUCAGAAAGCCACGGCUAACUACGUG
rnacentral:rRNA from 1 species